rnacentral:rRNA from 1 species
UACGGGAGGCAGCAGUGGGGAACUAUUGGCACAAUGGGCGCAAGCCUGAUGCAGCCAUGCCGCGUGUAUGAAGAAGGCCUUCGGGUUGUAAAGUACUUUCAGCAGUGAGGAAGGUGGAUAUGUUAAUAGCAUAUUCAUUUGACGUUAGCUGCAGAAGAAGCACCGGCUAACUCCGUGCCAGCAGCCGCGGUAAUACGGAGGGUGCGAGCGUUAAUCGGAAUUACUGGGCGUAAAGCGCAUGCAGGUGGUUUGUUAAGUCAGAUGUGAAAGCCCGGGGCUCAACCUCGGAAUUGCAUUUUGAAACUGGCAAACUAGAGUACUGUAGAGGGGGUAGAAUUUCAGGUGUAGCGGUGAAAUGCGUAGAGAUCUGAAGGAAUACCGGUGGCGAAGGCGGCCCCCUGGACAGAUACUGACACUCAGAUGCGAAAGCGUGGGGAGCAAACAGGAUUAGAUACCCUGGUAG